ACAACCUCUCUGCGCUGAUUGGGUGAUUCCUUUCUCACGAGCUUCGUGGCCACAAAAGCUGCCGCCACAAACUCUGACUCCGGCUAGAUCCAGUGCUCUUCUGCGCCACCGCUCACCAUCCCAUUCCCCCUUACUGCUUUUCUCUGUUCUUGUCCCGCGGCGAGUUCCUCCGUGCUGCCGCUCAACCUCCCGGCUCCGCCUUACUGCUCUCCUCCGAUCCCCAGCCGCCGCGACGUCCUCCGCUCCCCUGCUCACCCGCUCAUGGGCUCGGGAACCCCUCACUGCUAUCCUCUGAUCCAUUGCCGCGGCGACGUCAUCCACGCCCCUGCACGCGCCCCCGCAGGAACCCUAGCCGCCAUGGUUUGCUAGCGCGGCUCCCACGUCUCCUCUCGUUUGUCUGCCCACUACCCCGCGUGCGGCUGCCGGCUCGGGCUCGGCCGUGCUGUUCCACAUCGAGUCCUUGACCGUCCUGUUCCACAUCCUCGACUACCUCGACCGAUGGCAGACGGUUCAGUUUUCAGAUGUUCAAAUUCCAAUCUGUUUAUCUACAGGCUGCAGAGACAACAACGCUUCUGUGGUCACAGGCUCAAAAUUACCGCCUGUUCUGAAGUUGACUACGUGCUUCAGCCAACAUGUGUUUGUUUGUUCUUUCUCUUAACAGAUUGCCAAGAUAAAUUCAAGAUGCAUGGAUGUUGAUUGCAAGGUCAAGAAUGGCUGUUUUACCAGAUAAUUAGAAUGCCGUUUUCAAGUGUAAUGUUUCAAACAAUAUAGUUGAUUGAAUGGUCAAGAAUUUGGCUAGUACUAGAUGGUUUCACAUAUGUAAUAUUUGUAUCGUGUUCUUUGUAAUGCAAUACAUUCUUUUUAAUAUAUUAUGAGGAUUCCUGCUUA